CUGCAAGACCAAGUCUAGACUUUUCCCUGACCUAGGGAGUCAGAAGAAUGCAAAGUGGUUGGCAAGGGACCCGAGCAUUUAAAAAAAAGAUAUAAAUGGCACAAAACAAAAACAGAAGCAGGAAGAUCACUUUGGUAUCAGCCACUGGCCAAAGAAUGAGAGCCUGCUUCCAAUUCCCUUCCAGAAAAACUCUCCUGCAAAGAGCGGAAGAAGCAGCUGUCUGCUAGGGCUGUUUGAUUUCCUUCUUCUAACCAACAAGCUACUUACGAAAUCAAGCAAAUAAACAGGCAAACAAAGAAACAAAAGAACAACAAUCUUAAGCCAAAUGAACAAUAUAUUUUUCAAUAUCAAUGUCCUAUGGGAAAUCACUUCUAAAUUAGUCCUGCAAAAUGUGUUAGGAAAAUGAUCCAGGAGGAUAUUCUUUUGUGAUUCAAAAGGGAUGUUUGUGUUGUUUAUGCCACAGCUAAUCACUGCAAGUGAAAGGCAACCUACCUACAACUUUCUUUUCAUGCAGAAGACAGGUAAAGGAAAAAAGGAAAGAAAUCUGGGUGAAGAAAUACUAAACAAACGUGCAUGAUCUAAUCAAAAGGGCAUGAUCUAAUCAAAGUUAAAUUAGUUUGAAUCCCAUUGGAUUCAAUAUUAUUAUUUUACACACAUACAAAAUCAAUUAAUCAAAAAUAUUUAAAUAAUAUUAAGCUCCUGUGUAAGUUAAUAUCCAGCUUGUAUAUCACUUCGAUAAAAUAAAACUGUUUCUCCUCCUGAAGCCUCAAGUAAUUGUCUGGCUUCCCUGAACAUAAUGUCAAUCUGGACAUUUCAGCUAGUUUCCAUAUCUUCACCAACCAUUCUUUUCAGAAGUGAAUUGAUGAGUUGCCAUGUCAUUUUCUGGCCACUAACAUUUCUGCUGAAGUUAGCAAAGUCUAGAUUAAUCAGUCAUGUUCUCUGUGGAUUAUACUUUCCAGAUUACUUAGCAAAACAAACAAUGGACACAAGAACAUCACUGAACAUGCAAAUCAGAAAAGUCGUAUUUCACUGAACAUGCAAAACAAGUCUGUAGCUUGAGGGUUCUGCUGGAUUCAACGCUGUCCCUGGAGGCCCAGGUGUCAGCAGUGUCCAGGAGUGCCUUCUACCAACUUUGACGGGUUUGUCAGCUGCAACCCUACUUGGAGAAACUAGAACAGACCUCUGUCACUCAUGCACUGGACACAUUCAGAUAGGACUACUGCAAUGCACACCAUCUGGGGAUUGUUUCUGAAGACUGUUUGGAAGCUUCAGCUGGUCCAGAAUGCUGCUGCAAGGAUGUUUGCAGGCACUAGACUCUAAACAAGUAUUACACCUAUCCUGCAGCAGUUUAAAUAGUUGUGAAUUUGCUUUGGAGCCAGAUUGAAAGUGCUGUUUUUGACCUUUAAAGCCCAACACAGCUUCAGACCAGGGUGCCUUUUGGACCACAUUAACCCAUAUGACUCUGCUAGGGCCCACAGAUUGUCCAAUCGAGCCCUUCUCUUGACCCCAUCACUGACACAAAUAUGGUUGGCCAGAAUCAAAUACAGGACUUUCUCAGUAGUGCCCACCCCCACUCUGUGGAAUGCCCUUCCAAAAGGGCUUUGUCAGUCUCCCUUUUUGUUUAGUUUUUAAAAAGAACAUAAAAACCUUUCUUUUAAAGAAAGCUUUUAAAGACUAACUGUGAUUUUGUUUUAAUGCUGGCUGAUAUUCUACUUGUCUUAUAUUAUUUGCUCUUUUAUUUGUUUUAGGGUGAUUUAUUGUAUUUUAUCGUAGAUAUUAUGUUUUUACACUUUUAAUGUAAGCCACCCCAAGCAGCAGUGUGCUCGAUGGCAGGAUAUAAAUAAUAAAAAUACCUACAUACAUAUGGACUAUUUCCAGUAUUUGUUACCUCUGUUUUACAGAACAUACACAAGAAGUAAGGUGCUAAGUAUCAUUAGCAACAUAUUUGUAUAGUGUUUCUUAUAUUUAUAAAUGGAGAACAUGCAGAAACCUUUGUAUAUGUGAAUUGCCAAAUGCCAUGUACAUAGUCCCAUUGAUAUCAAUGGAAAAAUCAAAAACCUGAUUAAAACUCUACCACUGAAAUCAAUUAAAAGUGCAUAACCUUUAGCUGGAUCAUACCUUUAUAUUUACAAGUAAUCAAAGAAUCUCAAAAAGCCUUAAAAAUAUGGCACUGUAACUUAAAUAUAGGCAUUCCACAACUUACAAACACCUGCACUUACAAAGCUCCAUCACAUAUUGCAUUAAAGAAGUCCCCAACUUACAAACACCAACUCACAUAUACAAACAAGUUGUCCUCUUGGGAACUAUAUGUGUUCUGUGUUAGGAACAUCCAACUUCUAAAUGAACUUUUGGAAUACAAACCAUUCAUAAGUUGGGGUCAUUCUGUAAUCACGUUCAAAGCUAUGCAAAAUUAGUACAAAGCAGGUGAAAAGCAUAACCAAAUUAAAAUAAUGUUACUGUUCUAAAAGGUAUAUCAAUAUGUCAUGGUCUCCGUUAAGAUACACAGCAUUUAAUCAUUUUUAAAGUUAACAUAUGAAUGUGUGUUCAAAGCAGUGAUACUAGCCUGCUUACCUGACAAAUGGACCAAAUAUAUCAAGUGACUUGCUGAAUGACUGCAGCAAAUCUGUGAAAAAUUGACAAUAAAUCUGACUUCCAGAAUAAACAACCAGAGAUUGAAUAAAAUCUCUUACGAUUUUUAAAAAGCACUUGAAAACCCACUUCUUCACCCAAGCUUUUUCAGCUUUUUAAAUGUUUAAAUUUUAACCUAUUUUUGAUUUUUAGAUUGCCUAAAUUGUUUUAAGAUUUUUGUGUAUGUUUUAACUUGUUUUAUGUUAUUGUUAACCACCCAGAGACUAAAGUUUGGGGCAGUGUAUAAAUCUGACAAAUAAAUAAAUAAAUAAAUAAAUAAAUAAUGA